rnacentral:tRNA from 1 species
GAAAAAGUCAUAGGGUUUAUGGGAUUGGCUUGAAACCAAUUUUUGGGGGUUCAAAUCCUUCCUUUUUCG